GCUAUCGGAUUGAUACUAAGCCAUGCGAGUCAUUGUAGCAAUACAAGGCAUACGGCUCAGUAACGCGUAGUCAACCUAACCUAUGGACGGGAAUAACCUCGGGAAACUGAGAAUAAUGCCCGAUAGAACAUUAUGCCUGGAAUGGUUUAUGUUCCAAAUGAUUUAUCGCCGUAGGAUGGGACUGCGGCCUAUCAGUUUGUUGGUGAGGUAAUGGCCCACCAAGACUAUUACAGGUACGGGCUCUGAGAGGAGUAGCCCGGAGAUGGGUACUGAGACACGGACCCAGGCCCUAUGGGGCGCAGCAGGCGAGAAAACUUUGCAAUGUGCGAAAGCACGACAAGGUUAAUCCGAGUGGUUUCUGCUAAAGGAACCUUUUGUCAGUCCUAGAAACACUGAUGAAUAAGGGGUGGGCAAGUUCUGGUGUCAGCCGCCGCGGUAAAACCAGCACCUCAAGUGGUCAGGAUGAUUAUUGGGCCUAAAGCAUCCGUAGCCGGCUCUGUAAGUUUUCGGUUAAAUCUGUACGCUCAACGUACAGGCUGCCGGGAAUACUGCAAAGCUAGGGAGUGGGAGAGGUAGACGGUACUCGGUAGGAAGGGGUAAAAUCCUUUGAUCUAUUGAUGACCACCUGUGGCGAAGGCGGUCUACCAGAACACGUCCGACGGUGAGGGAUGAAAGCUGGGGGAGCAAACCGGAUUAGAUACCCGGGUAGUCCCAGCUGUAAACCAUGCAAACUCAGUGAUGCAUUGGCUUGUGGCCAAUGCAGUGCUGCAGGGAAGCCGUUAAGUUUGCCGCCUGGGAAGUACGUACGCAAGUAUGAAACUUAAAGGAAUUGGCGGGGGAGCACCAC
rnacentral:rRNA from 1 species